AGUGAACGCUGGCGGCAGGCCUAACACAUGCAAGUCGAACGGCAGCACAGUAAUAGCUCGCUCUUACGGGUGGGGAGGGGCGGAUGGGUGAGGGAUACAUGCGAAUCUACUGUUUCUAGGGGGCUGACGUAGGGACUCUUACGCCAUUACCGCUUAGGACGUACGGGGGAGAGCAGGGGAUCUCCCGAUAUUGGGUGAUCCGAUGUCGGAUUAGCUAGUUGGUGGGGUAAAGGCCUACCAAGGCGACGAUCCGUAGCUGGUCUGAGAGGAUGAUCAGCCACACUGGAACUGAGACACGGUCCAGACUCCUACGGGAGGCAGCAGUGGGGAAUAUUGGACAAUGGGCGCAAGCCUGAUCCAGCCAUGCCGCGUGGGUGAAGAAGGCCUUCGGGUUGUAAAGCCCUUUUGUUGGGGAAGAAAAGCAGCAGGUUAAUACCCCGCUGUUCUGACGGUACCCAAAGAAUAAGCACCGGCUAACUUCGUG
rnacentral:rRNA from 1 species